GCAAAGUGGAACCUUCUCUGAGGGUGGGAGGACAGCAUUUGGAAGAUGGUUCCAAACCUGCCGAGUUUCGCCAGCAAUUUUGUCUUGCAUCUAUUGCUGAUGGCAGUCCAAGGAUAAUGGCAAAGAUGGAUGUACAGACAUGAGCCAGUCCUGCCUGCUAGGAGACCGAAUGAAUAACAAACCAUUGGAAUGAAACACUCACUUUUGAAGUUAUUUUGUCCCAGAAACUACCACCUAAUGUUUGGAUUUAUUGGGUCAAUUCAGCUGGAUUUAUUUUCAGCCUUCCAUUUUUCACUAACUACUUUGGAGACUAAACUUGCUUUAGAUCAGGCAAACACAGGACUCGGAAUGUGCCAAUUCUCAAUUUUAACUUGACGUACAAUUUAGCUCCCACUUACAUGGUCCUAUGAAACUUUUUUUUUAGAGCCUGUUCCAUUCAUUUUCACCAUAAAGAAACACUAUUCUAUCUAUUCCCCUUUGGAAUGAUUCAGAUCAAGUGGGGUUUCACAUGGAAUAGCUGAUACAGUUCUGACUGACUCCUCAUUAAUGUAUUUACAAGCCAAAAAUUACGGGAAAAACAUCAAGAUUGCUCAUGGUAUUCAUAGAUUGAGCUUGUGGAAGAGGUGAAAGAUUUCUGGCGUUUUUUUCUUUAUUCACGGGAUGAGGAC